rfam:Rattus norvegicus chromosome 2, whole genome shotgun sequence.
GGGGAUUUAGCUCAGUGGUAGAGCACUUGCCUAGCAAGCACAAGGCCCUGGGUUCGGUCCCCAGCUCA